rnacentral:rRNA from 1 species
UCAAUAGUACGUGAAACCGUUUAGAGGCAAGCGGAUGGGACCACAAAGUCGACCCACAGAAUUCAACUGGUUGUUCAGUGGUUGGUUAGGGUGCUCUGAUCCGAUGGAAGGAUCCCUUACAAGACCGCUGUCAGCUAGUGCACUUUCUGUGGGGAGAGCGCCAUGACCAGUUCCCAGGCUGCCAGAAGCCUCCCUAGAAGGUAGCGCCCCAUAGCGGGGAGUGUUAUAGAUGGGGAUGGUGCUGGCCAGCUGGGGGACUGAGGGACCCUACUGCACCUGCUCUCUGGGCUUGGGCACCUGGCCUGCUGGGUGAGGUCAAUGUGGAUGGACUGUUCACAGUGCGUCCUGACUGCUCGCUAUCCAGGACCAGGGGAGCUCCCAAGAUGGUGUUUAAGGUCUGUGGCGAAUUGGUUGGCACCCCAUCUGA